GUAUCAGAUAGGGCCUCUAGAAGAAGAUGCUACACAACUUGAACUCAAUAGAAAGCCAGAAAGCAGCCAGUCCUUUGAGGAAGAGUUUUUACUUUGCAUGCCAGUGUAAACUCACUCACUGCUCUGUCAGGGUGUCCAUGUGGCUGAACUGUUUCCAGGAAAAACCUGCAGAAAGGAGCUUCCUGUUUCCUCACAGCUCAGACAUGAAGCCCACCCUCAUCUCAGUGCUUGUGAUGAUAUUCACACUCAGAGGAACAAGAGCCCAGACAGUGACUCAGCCUGAGGACCACAUCUCCGUCUUUGAAGGGUCCCCAGUGCAGGUGAAGUGCAACUACUCAUAUUCUGGGAGUCCUGAGCUCUUCUGGUAUGUACACUACCCCAAACAACACCUCCAGUUACUCCUGAGACACACCUCAAGAGAGAGUAUCAGAGGUUUCACGGCUGACCUCAGCAAGGGUGAGGCAUCCUUCCAUCUGAAAAAACUAUCAGCUCAAGAGGAAGACUCAGCGGUGUAUUACUGUGCUCUGGGGGACACAGUAAUUGGUUUUACAAAGGAAGCAGAGCAAAAACCCCUUAAGAGUUACUGAAAAUAUUUCUAAGUU